GAUGAACGCUGGCGGCGUGCCUAAUACAUGCAAGUCGAGCGAACGGACGAGAAGCUUGCUUUUCUGAUGUUACCGGCGGACGGGUGAGUAACACGUGGAUAACCUACCUAUAAGCCUGGGAUAACUUCGGGAAACCGGAGCUCAUACCGGAUAAUAUUUUGAACCGUAUGGUUCAAAAGUGAAAGACGGUCUUGCUGUCACUUAUAGAUGGAUCCGCGCUGCAUUAGCUAGUUGGUAAGGUAACGGCUUACCAAGGCGACGAUGCAUAGCCGACCUGAGAGGGUGAUCGGCCACACUGGAACUGAGACGCGGUCCAGACUCCGACGGGAGGCAGCAGUGGGGAAUCUUGCGCGAUGGGCGAAAGCCUGACGGAGCAACGCCGCGUGAGUGAUGAGGGUCUUCGGAUCGUAAAACUCUGUUAUUAGGGAAGAACAUAUGUGUAAGUAACUGUGCACAUUUUGACGGUACCUAAACAGAAAGCCACGGCUAACUACGUG
rnacentral:rRNA from 1 species